UGAAUCUCUGCAAGGUCAGCAGGCAACCUAAGCAGGUGCUCAGGACAUUAGCAAUGCAGGAUUGUUCCUGGCUGAAAUGUUACCAUGAAGCUCCAUCCCUUUCAGAAGCCUCUGAAGGAGUUGCUCACGGACAGAAAAGCCUGCCAGAGGUCAACCCAACACUCACCUACAAUGCCAUUACCCAUCAGCCUCUGCACGUAUUCUUUUAAAAAAAUUCUUCCCCCUAAAAUUUAGGGUUGGCUGAGGAGAAGAAUCCGCUUGUACAUAAUGGCAGCCCAGCCUAGAGAAAACGCAGGUUGCAGAAAUCUGGAGGAAGUUUUUACCAAGAGUUCCCUGCUGCAGAGGCUGUGGAAGGCAUUUGGGCUUCUUGGGGAGGAGAGUUCACAGGGCUGAGCCUGUGCGAAACCUUACUUGGAAGCCAAACACAGGUUCUAACUUGACCCGUCUACUAUGCCUUCCCAGGCUGACAGGGUUCAACUUGGAGUUGUCCAGCCAUGAUCUCUUUCAUACCUGUUGCUUCCUUCCGUGGACCUGUCCUGUAUCUUCCCCCUUAGCUGUCCUUUUGUAGCAGUCUGGGGGUGGUCCUGUGGCUCUACAGCACCAGGGGGGACUGCUGAGACCACACUGUAAAUUGCGGUGUAAAUUGGAAUGGAGAAAUUCUUCCCUGUGGGGAGCUGAGCCCAGCCAGAUCGCUACCCCCACCCCACCCUCCCUCCAUGGCUUCCUGCCCUUUAGCCCUGGCGUUUAGAAAGCUAGCCUCUGGGUUCAGAACUCCCCACCAGAGAAAGGUUCUCUAUGCCUUCUCGAUAGUUCAGUGUUUACAUCAAGGCCUAGAGCAUUGGUUCUCAAAACGUGAGCAGGCAUUAGAAUCAUCUGGGGAGGAUUGCUGGGCCGCACCCCACUCGUUCCUAGUUCAGUUAAGUCUAGGACAGGGAUUGUAAAUUUUUAUGUCCAAUGAAUUCUCAGGUGCUACUGCAGCAGCUGGCCCGGGACCACAUGGUGUGAUCUGCUGGUCUAGAAACAAGUUUCCCAGUGGCCCAGCUUCUGGAGAUCUGAGCACUGUCCCCAGAUGGGUGGCUUGGUAAAAGCCUCAGAGCAGAAGCUGUCAAGAGGGCUGAGAUGACUUCUAGGAUGAUCCUACUCCUGGAGAGACUUAGUCUCCAGGACUGUCGGUCUCCUCUGGGGUUUUUCUACUUGCCUCUAAUAAAACUAAAGUUAAUAACAAACCCUUGCUGAUAUCUUUAAAUUCUGCUGGGAAGUAACAUUUUACUAGUGAUCCUUAGUGAAAGCAAAGUCAUGGCAGUAUUUCCUGCUCAGCAGAGCAGGGUUUGGCUUUUGUGGUGUCUCCACACAGUGGGCCUGGGUGCAGGAAGACUCUAGCCGCUGCUCACUGAUGGGUGCCUUCGUCCUUCCAAAGAUGACAGCGUCUGCCUUCAUUUGGAGGUGGCAGAGGAGCGUGCCAGGAGAGGAUCAGAAGAGGUGGUAGGGACUGGGUUCCUGUUUGUGCUUGCAGUGAGUGCCUGGCCCAGCCUCCUGACAGUGAAUCAGCCUGUCCAAGGCUUGGCAGUCAGCGGUGAGCCAGGGUUACCAUGGAGAUGGGUGAGGCCCAAGCCCACAGGUCUGGGUGGCCUGACUUGUUUUUAAAUGUUGAAGCCUGCGUGAACAUAGAGGCCCUUAUCUCCACUUCUGAGGCUUUCUUAAAACGUGACUGGUAUUUUGGGGCCCAGAAAAUGUUGGUAGGGGAAACUCACAUCCUUGCUAUUGGGUCUGUUACUGACUUCUGGGUGCCACCUGGGUGCCUACAGGUCUCCCAAGCUUGGUACCUUUUACAAAAGAUUUUUAUCUUUUUAUCUUUUAUAAGGGACUUCU